rnacentral:rRNA from 1 species
UACGAAGGGUGCAAGCGUUAAUCGGAAUUACUGGGCGUAAAGCGUGCGCAGGCGGUCUUUUAAGUCAGAUGUGAAAUCCCCGGGCUUAACCUGGGAACUGCGUUUGAAACUGGAAGGCUAGAGUGUGGCAGAGGGGGGGUGGAAUUCCACGUGUAGCAGUGAAAUGCGUAGAUAUGUGGAGGAACACCGAUGGCGAAGGCAGCCCCCCUGGGCUAACACUGACGCUCAUGCACGAAAGCGUGGGGAGCAAACAGG